AGAUUAUCACCAUGAGGUGUAUAAAAUCUCAGAAUUCAGCAACGAUGUUAAUGGGGAGACCAAAGAGACACAACCCAUGUUCUUAGGAAGAAGAAGGGUGCAAAGGGCAGGCAGAAGUCACACUUACAGAGGAGAAACAGACAAGCCCUUCCGACCAGAAUGAAUGCCAUAGGCACUUGGGUCUUUCCAGUAAGGCAGGGAACAGACCCAAGACCAGCACCAUUCCCAGCACCUACUGACUAUUAUGAACACUGAACACUAAAGUCAAGUGAGAUGCUAUGGCCCAGAAAGACCCCUCUCAGAUGAGACUCCUUUCCGUGCUCCGACCUGGGAGACGGAAGCAUGGAAAUUAAGAAACAAAUUACGGGGAUGAGAAGAUUACUGAAUGACCGUACCGGGAGGAUCUAUCAACGCGUCGGCAAAGAAGGGGAAAAAC
rnacentral:lncRNA from 1 species